rnacentral:miRNA from 3 species
AAGUGCCGCCAUCUUUUGAGUGU